UCACAUUUUUAAUUCAUGGCUGCCACACUGUCGCAAUUUUUUUUAGCCCACGUCUCAACACUUGUUAUUCAGAUGAACAAAUCUGGAAACUGCGCGUGUUUAAAGUUUCUCUACAUUUAAAUUUGCUGAAAACGUAGGUGCUAUUGGAAGUACAGCCUCCCAAAGCCGUCCAUGCGAAGACUAAUGGGAGAUCGGAAGACAUUAUUGCAGUUUUGCUUUUAUUCGUUCAUGGAUGUGGGUGUCACUGGCUAGUUCUGAAGUCACAGGUAGGCCAAACCAGCAAACUUGUCUCCCUCUAAUAUAGCCCAAUGGAUUCCAAUCUGCGCAAGAUCCUAGCUUUUCGGUGCAUCCCGUUGGAAGUGCCAGCAAGAAGAUUCACCUAUCAGAUGCUCAAGUUGGCCCGACCUGUGGCCUAGUCAAGAACUGGUCAAACACCAUGACAACCAGUUUGGAGAAUCAACAGAAUGGACAGCACCACCAUGGAAUUUGAACCUGCACCCAUCAGAACUGUGAACUUUGUGCUCUUACUAUUGCACUAUAAGAUUGCUCCAUCAAUGGCUGGUUCUAAAGAAUUUUCAACUUCUAAAAACACCCUUCACCUAAUCUCACUAAGACAGUCGUCUAGUUAUAAAACAUCUUUGGUAUCUGUUCCAAAAGCAAACAACUAAUCAUAGUUUGUCAGUCCAAUAAAUAUGUCAGACUAUCUGUAUACAUAUUUUUUGUGGUUGGCCUUUAUAACUGAACUUUUUUUUAGGUUUAUUGAUUGGGCAUUACCUCUUUUUGGAGAAAGGAAUAUUCUUUAACAAAAGGAUCUUAGGAUUGGCUCUACAAUAAAAUAUUUUCUAUUAAGAUGAUCAGGCAUAGAACGACAACGUAAUUUAUUGAGAUUAAAUAUGGCUUGAAUAACCUGGCUACAUUAGAUAAGUUAAAUAAAACUGAAACCAGAACACAAACAGAUUGGCGGUGUCUUUGACAGCACCUUCCAAAUCACAAACUUUACCACCUAGGGGGACAAGGGCAGCAGGUACAUGGGAACAUCACACCUCAAGUUCCCUUCCAAGUCAUGAACCACACUGGUUUACAAAUAUAUCCCUGACAAAUAUAUCAUUUCUGGAUCAGAAUCCUGGAACUCCCUUUUUACCAGCUCUGUGACAGUACCUUCACCACAUGGACUGCAGUGGUUAAACAAGGUGGCUCACUACCUCCUUUGUAAAAGCAGUUAGGGCCAUACAAUAAAUGAUGGUUUACCAGUGAUACCCACAUCCCAUGAAUGAAUAGAAAAUAAAAGGUCUUUGGCAGCCGAACAAUGGGGGCAAUAGUGAAAAGGCAAAUGAUUUUACAAUUUAUUCAAUUCUCUUUCCCAUUGAAGUCAGUGGGUUAUAUGAGUUCAGUCUUAUAUUUUUGAUAAAACUUUACUGAAUCUAUAAUGGAAUGUACACCUUACAGACAAGCAAAUGUAUAUUAUGUAUUUAUGUGUUCACACAUUUUAAAAGCUAUCAUAGGUUCUGCUUCUGCCACUGUUUCUAAUUGGACAUUCAAUGUCCCAAUAACUCUCCAAUUAAACAAGAUCUCCUGGCCAUCCCUCAUUUCUUUGGUAAUGAUUAUAAUUUAUGCUGUAUGAGCUUGGUUCACCACCAAAUGGAAAUAAAUUUCCCUGUCUUCAAG